CGUUUGGUCGAAUGCUACUAGAGCAGCCUGACCAAACUAGUAUUAGUAAAUAAAGG
rfam:Beet pseudo-yellows virus segment RNA 2, complete sequence.